UACAGAGGUCUCAAGCGUUGUUCGGAUUCAUUGGGCGUAAAGGGUGCGUAGGCGGCGCGGUAAGUCGGGUGUGAAAUCUUGGAGCUUAACUCCGAAACUGCAUUCGAUACUGCCGUGCUUGAGGACUGGAGAGGAGACUGGAAUUUACGGUGUAGCGGUGAAAUGCGUAGAUAUUGGGAGGAACACCAGUGGCGAAGGCGGCUCACUGGACCGGUUCUGACGCUGAGGCGCGAAAGCGUGGGGAGCGAACAGG
rnacentral:rRNA from 1 species